NNNNNNNNNNNAAAAAAAAAAAAAAAAAAAAAAUACACAUAUAUAUAUAUAUAUAUGUAUAUAUAUAAGUAUCUUACCCAAGUGUUAGCAUAAUAGCUACUGUACAUAUGAAUAUAGAGAAAUAAAAGUAAAAUAACAAAAACAAAAUAAUAGCCACAAUCAAAAUCACAAAAACGUUAUAAGAACUAACUUCUCAUUCCAAUGGAGGAGGAAAAAAUUAUAGACACCAGUGAAGUGGUAUAUAACAAUGAGAAAGGAAGUUUGUUUAUAACAAAUAAAUUUUUAAUUUAUAUUUCUGAAAAGACUAAAAAAGAAAAAGAAGAGAGUAAUUCAUUAUUUUUAAAUGAAUCAAUUGAUUUAAAAAUUUGUAUAUUUAGUUGGAAAAAAACUGAAAAAACGAAAAAAAAAAAAAAAAAUACGCUUCACAUUUGCUAUAACAAGUAAAAAAAAUAAUUUUUGUUUCCAUGAUUAUAAUAAUACCGAAUCACAUAUUUUUGAAUUUUUAAAUGAACAAUGUUAUAAUAAUGUGUCCGAUUUAAUUAAUUAUUUAAAUAAAGAUAAUUUAAAGAAUCAUAUAUAUAUAGAUUUUAAUUUAAGCUUAAUAAAAGAUAAGUACAAAAUAUAUGAAGAACCUGAUGGUGUGAGUAGUACACUUGAACAAAGUCCUGAUCAGGAAAUAAAUGAAAAACUAAAAAGUAUCCAAUAUACUGUAGGUGAAAGUGAUACGGUAGGUAUAGCAGUAGAUACGGUUGGUACCAAUGGUGUAGCGACUAGUAUUAGUCAAUUAGAGCUUCUUCAAUAUGACCAAUCGCAUGUGAACCUAAACAGAGAUAUCGUAUUUGCCGCCCAAAAUGAACAACAGCAAAGCAUACAAAACGAAAUAACUGUUACUUAUAAUAAUAAUAAUAAUAAUAACAAUUUUAACAGACAAGCAACAACCACACAAGAAGCUAUGAGAGAAGAAGAUGCAGAUGAUAAUGAUAGCUAUGAUGAUGAUGAUGAUUAUGAUAGUGAUGCUGAUAAAGAUGACACUGAAACAGAAACUCUAAAAGAAUAUCGUAAUACACUAAAUAGAUUAUU
rnacentral:lncRNA from 1 species